rnacentral:rRNA from 14 species
GACCUCGGAUCAGGUAGGGAUACCCGCUGAACUUAAGCAUAUCAAUAAGCGGAGGAAAAGAAACCAACAGGGAUUGCCCUAGUAACGGCGAGUGAAGCGGCAUCAGCUCAAAUUUGAAAUCUGGCGCUUUCAGCGUCCGAGUUGUAAUUUGCAGAGGGCGCUUUGGCAUUGGCAGCGGUCCAAGUUCCUUGGAACAGGACGUCACAGAGGGUGAGAAUCCCGUACGUGGUCGCUAGCCUUUACCGUGUAAAGCCCCUUCGACGAGUCGAGUUGUUUGGGAAUGCAGCUCUAAAUGGGAGGUAAAUUUCUUCUAAAGCUAAAUACUGGCCAGAGACCGAUAGCGCACAAGUAGAGUGAUCGAAAGAUGAAAAGCACUUUGGAAAGAGAGUUAAAAAGCACGUGAAAUUGUUGAAAGGGAAGCGCUUGCAGCCAGACUUGCCUGUAGUUGCUCAUCCGGGUUUUUACCCGGUGCACUCUUCUAUAGGCAGGCCAGCAUCAGUUUGGGCGGUUGGAUAAAGGUCUCUGUCAUGUACCUCCUUUCGGGGAGAUCUUAUAGGGGAGACGACAUGCAACCAGCCUGGACUGAGGUCCGCGCAUCUGCUAGGAUGCUGGCGUAAUGGCUGUAAGCGGCCCGUCUUGUAACACGGACCAAGGAGUCUAACAUCUAUGCGAGUGUUUGGGUGUCAAGCCCGAACGCGUAAUGAAAGUGAACGGAGGUGGGAACCUUUCGGGGUGCACCAUCGACCGAUCCUGAUGUCUUCGGAUGGAUUUGAGUAAGAGCAUAGCUGUUGGGACCCGAAAGAUGGUGAA